rnacentral:rRNA from 1 species
UAAUAAUGAAGUUUGA